GUUUCUGUAGUGUAGCGGUUAUCACGUUUGCCUAACACGCAAAGGUCCUCGGUUCAAAACCGAGCAGAAACA
rnacentral:tRNA from 1 species